rnacentral:rRNA from 1 species
UACGUAGGGGGACAGCGUUGUCCGGAAUCAUUGGGCGUAAAGAGCGUGUAGGCGGCCAGAUAAGUCCGCUGUGAAAUCUCGAGGCUCAACUUCGAGCUGUCGGUGGAAACUGUCUGGCUAGAGUCCGGAAGAGGAGAAUGGAAUUCCUGGUGUAGCGGUGAAAUGCGCAGAUAUCAGGAAGAACACCCGUGGCGAAGGCGGUUCUCUGGGACGGUACUGACGCUGAGACGCGAAAGCGUGGGGAGCGAACAGG